rnacentral:rRNA from 1 species
GACGAACGCUGGCGGCGUGCUUAACACAUGCAAGUCGAACGGAAAGGCCCUGUUUUUGUGGGGUGUUCGAGUGGCGAACGGGUGAGUAUCACGUGAGUAACCUGCCCUUGACUUUGGGAUAACUUCAGGAAACUCGAGCUAAUACCGGGCAUGAGCUCCUGCUGCAUGGUGUGUGUGGGUAAGUUUCGGCGGUUGGGGAUGGACUCGCGGCUUAUCGGCUUGUUGGUGGGGUAGUGGGUUAACAAGGCUUUGACGGGUAGCCGGCCUGAGAGGGUGACAGGCCACAUUGUGACUGAGAUAGGGCCCAGACUCCUACGGGAGGCAGCAGUGGGGAAUAUUGCACAAUGGGCGGAAGCCUGAUGCAGCAACGCCGCGUGCGGGAUGACGGCUUGCGGGUUGUAAACCGCUUUCGCCUGUGACGAAGCGUGAGUGACGGUAAUGGGUAAAGAAGCACCGGCUAACUACGUG